UGAUCUUGAUGCCAGGGCAAAGAGUGAGAGAUACCGUGCACUUUUCCGGCUGCCCAAAGAUGAAAAAUUAGAUGGCCACACAGACUGCACCCUCUGGACUCCAUUUAACAAAAUGCACAUUCUGGGGCAGAUGUUUGUGUCCACAAAUUACAUCUGUUUUACCAGCAAGGAGGAGAACUUAUGUAGCCUCAUUAUCCCGCUCCGUGAGGUGACAAUUGUGGAAAAGGCAGACAGCUCCAGUGUGCUCCCCAGUCCCUUAUCCAUCAGCACGCGAAACAGGAUGACCUUCCUAUUUGCCAACUUGAAAGAUAGAGACUUUCUAGUGCAGAGGAUCUCAGAUUUCCUGCAACAGACUACUUCCAAAAUAUAUUCUGACAAGGAGUUUGCAGGAAGUUACAACAGUUCAGAUGAUGAGGUCUGUGGGAGACACCUGAAAGUGUUUUUGGUUUAUCCUGUUCCUGUGCCCAAGUGUGUUCACUUCCUUGCCCAUUUUGUUUGAUCUUCAAGCUUUGCGUCUGACGCCCAGAGCAAUAUCUCAGCA
rnacentral:sRNA from 1 species